rnacentral:misc_RNA from 1 species
AACGCACCUUGCGCCCCUUGGCAUUCCGAGGGGCACGCCUGUUUGAGUGUCGUGAACUCCUCCACCCUCUACCUUUUCCGAAGGGCAUUGGGCUGGGAUUUGGGAGCUUGCGGGUCCCUGGCUGAUCCGCUCUCCUUGAAUGUAUUAGCGAAGCCCUCGCGGCCUUGGUGUGAUAGUCAUCUACGCCUCAGCUUAGCGAACAUGUGGGAGUCGCUUCUAACCGUCUCGCAAGGGACAACACAUACCAACUUGACCUCAAAUCAGGCGGGACUACCCGCUGAACUUAA